AUUGAACGCUGGCGGCAUGCUUUACACAUGCAAGUCGAACGGUAACAGGCCGCAAGGUGCUGACGAGUGGCGAAUGGGUGAGUAAUGCAUCGGAACGUGCCCAGUCGUGGGGGAUAACGCAGCGAAAGCUGCGCUAAUACCGCAUACGAUCUAUGGAUGAAAGCGGGGGACCGAAAGGCCUCGCGCGAUUGGAGCGGCCGAUGUCAGAUUAGGUAGUUGGUGGGGUAAAGGCCCACCAAGCCAACGAUCUGUAGCUGGUCUGAGAGGACGACCAGCCACAGUGGGACUGAGACACGGCCCAGACUCCUACGGGAGGCAGCAGUGGGGAAUUUUGGACAAUGGGCGCAAGCCUGAUCCAGCAAUGCCGCGUGCAGGAAGAAGGCCUUCGGGUUGUAAACUGCUUUUGUACGGAACGAAACGGUCCGGGUUAAUACCCUGGGCUAAUGACGGUACCGUAAGAAUAAGCACCGGCUAACUACGUGCCAGCCGCCGCGGUAAGAC
rnacentral:rRNA from 1 species